AGUGAACGCUGGCGGUAGGCCUAACACAUGCAAGUCGAACGGCAGCACAGUAAGAGCUUGCUCUUACGGGUGGCGAGUGGCGGACGGGUGAGGAAUACAUCGGAAUCUACUUUUUCGUGGGGGAUAACGUAGGGAAACUUACGCUAAUACCGCAUACGACCUACGGGUGAAAGCAGGGGAUCUUCGGACCUUGCGCGAUUGAAUGAGCCGAUGUCGGAUUAGCUAGUUGGCGGGGUAAAGGCCCACCAAGGCGACGAUCCGUAGCUGGUCUGAGAGGAUGGACAGCCACACUGGAACUGAGACACGGUCCAGACUCCUACGGGAGGCAGCAGUGGGGAAUAUUGGACAAUGGGGGGAAACCUGAUCCAGCCAUACCGCGUGGGUGAAGAAGGCCUUCGGGUUGUAAAGCCCUUUUGUUGGGAAAGAAAAGCAGCAGGUUAAUACCCCGCUGUUCUGACGGUACCCAAAGAAUAAGCACCGGCUAACUUCGUG
rnacentral:rRNA from 1 species